rnacentral:rRNA from 1 species
AGAGGAGCUUGCUCUUCUUGGAUGAGUUGCGAACGGGUGAGUAACGCGUAGGUAACCUGCCUUGUAGCGGGGGAUAACUAUUGGAAACGAUAGCUAAUACCGCAUAACAAUGGAUGACACAUGUCAUUUAUUUGAAAGGGGCAAUUGCUCCACUACAAGAUGGACCUGCGUUGUAUUAGCUAGUAGGUGAGGUAAUGGCUCACCUAGGCGACGAUACAUAGCCGACCUGAGAGGGUGAUCGGCCACACUGGGACUGAGACACGGCCCAGACUCCUACGGGAGGCAGCAGUAGGGAAUCUUCGGCAAUGGGGGCAACCCUGACCGAGCAACGCCGCGUGAGUGAAGAAGGUUUUCGGAUCGUAAAGCUCUGUUGUAAGUCAAGAACGGGUGUGAGAGUGGAAAGUUCACACUGUGACGGUAGCUUACCAGAAAGGGACGGCUAACUACGUGCCAGCAGCCGCGGUAAUACGUAGGUCCCGAGCGUUGUCCGGAUUUAUUGGGCGUAAAGCGAGCGCAGGCGGUUUGAUAAGUCUGAAGUUAAAGGCUGUGGCUCAACCAUAGUUCGCUUUGGAAACUGUCAAACUUGAGUGCAGAAGGGGAGAGUGGAAUUCCAUGUGUAGCGGUGAAAUGCGUAGAUAUAUGGAGGAACACCGGUGGCGAAAGCGGCUCUCUGGUCUGUAACUGACGCUGAGGCUCGAAAGCGUGGGGAGCGAACAGGAUUAGAUACCCUGGUAGUCCACGCCGUAAACGAUGAGUGCUAGGUGUUGGAUCCUUUCCGGGAUUCAGUGCCGCAGCUAACGCAUUAAGCACUCCGCCUGGGGAGUACGACCGCAAGGUUGAAACUCAAAGGAAUUGACGGGGGCCCGCACAAGCGGUGGAGCAUGUGGUUUAAUUCGAAGCAACGCGAAGAACCUUACCAGGUCUUGACAUCCCGAUGCUAUUUCUAGAGAUAGAAAGUUACUUCGGUACAUCGGUGACAGGUGGUGCAUGGUUGUCGUCAGCUCGUGUCGUGAGAUGUUGGGUUAAGUCCCGCAACGAGCGCAACCCCUAUUGUUAGUUGCCAUCAUUCAGUUGGGCACUCUAGCGAGACUGCCGGUAAUAAACCGGAGGAAGGUGGGGAUGACGUCAAAUCAUCAUGCCCCUUAUGACCUGGGCUACACACGUGCUACAAUGGUUGGUACAACGAGUUGCGAGUCGGUGACGGCGAGCUAAUCUCUUAAAGCCAAUCUCAGUUCGGAUUGUAGGCUGCAACUCGCCUACAUGAAGUCGGAAUCGCUAGUAAUCGCGGAUCAGCACGCCGCGGUGAAUACGUUCCCGGGCCUUGUACACACCGCCCGUCACACCACGAGAGUUUGUAACACCCGAAGUCGGUGAGGUAA